GAUCCUGGCUCAGGAUGAACGCUAGCUACAGGCUUAACACAUGCAAGUCGAGGGGCAGCAUUGGGAUAGCUUGCUAUCCAGAUGGCGACCGGCGCACGGGUGAGUAACGCGUAUCCAACCUUCCCUACAGUAGGGGAUAGCCCGGCGAAAGUCGGAUUAACACCCUAUGUUCUUCUUUGAUGACAUCUGACGAGAAGCAAAGGUUUACCGCUAUAGGAUGGGGAUGCGUCUGAUUAGCUUGUCGGCGGGGUAACGGCCCACCGAGGCAACGAUCAGUAGGGGUUCUGAGAGGAAGGUCCCCCACAUUGGUACUGAGACACGGACCAAACUCCUACGGGAGGCAGCAGUGAGGAAUAUUGGUCAAUGGGCGAGAGCCUGAACCAGCCAAGUAGCGUGCAGGAAUGACUGCCCUAUGGGUUGUAAACUGCUUUUAUGCGGGAAUAAAGUCAGGUACGUGUACCUGUUUGUAUGUACCGCAUGAAUAAGGACCGGCUAAUUCCGUGCCAGCAGCGGC
rnacentral:rRNA from 1 species